CACGUAGGGCGCAAGCGUUGUCCGGAAUUAUUGGGCGUAAAGAGCUCGUAGGUGGUUUGUUACGUCCGCUGUGAAAUCCUAGGGCUUAACCCUGGGCUUGCAGUGGAUACGGGCAGACUAGAGGUAGGUAGGGGAGAAUGGAAUUCCUGGUGUAGCGGUGAAAUGCGCAGAUAUCAGGAAGAACACCCGUGGCUAAGGCGGCUCUCUAGUACGGUACUGACGCUGAGACGCGAAAGCGUGGGGAGCGAACAGG
rnacentral:rRNA from 1 species